GAGUUUGAUCGUGGCUCAGAUUGAACGCUGGCGGCAUGCCUUACACAUGCAAGUCGAACGGCAGCAUGAUCUAGCUUGCUAGAUUGAUGGCGAGUGGCGAACGGGUGAGUAAUACAUCGGAACGUGCCCUGUAGUGGGGGAUAACUAGUCGAAAGAUUAGCUAAUACCGCAUACGACCUGAGGGUGAAAGUGGGGGACCGCAAGGCCUCAUGCUAUAGGAGCGGCCGAUGUCUGAUUAGCUAGUUGGUGGGUAAAGGCCCACCAAGGCGACGAUCAGUAGCUGGUCUGAGAGGACGAUCAGCCACACUGGGACGUGAGACACGGCCCAGACUCCUACGGGAGGCGAGCAGUGGGGAAUUUUGGAC
rnacentral:rRNA from 1 species